UACGGGGGGGGCAAGCGUUGUUCGGAAUUACUGGGCGUAAAGGGCUCGUAGGCGGCCAACUAAGUCAGACGUGAAAUCCCUCGGCUUAACCGGGGAACUGCGUCUGAUACUGGAUGGCUAGAGGUUGGGAGAGGGAUGCGGAAUUCCAGGUGUAGCGGUGAAAUGCGUAGAUAUCGAGAGGAACACCUGCGGCGAAGGCGGGUUGCUGGGCCGACACUGACGCUGAUGCGCGAAAGCCAGGGGAGCGAACGGG
rnacentral:rRNA from 1 species